UACGUAGGGUGCAAGCGUUAAUCGGAAUUACUGGGCGUAAAGCGUGCGCAGGCGGUUUUGUAAGUUUGUCGUGAAAUCCCCGGGCUUAACCUGGGAAUUGCGAUGAAGACUGCAGGGCUAGAAUCUGGCAGAGGGGGGUAGAAUUCCACGUGUAGCAGUGAAAUGCGUAGAGAUGUGGAGGAACACCGAUGGCGAAGGCAGCCCCCUGGGUCAAGAUUGACGCUCAUGCACGAAAGCGUGGGGAGCAAACAGG
rnacentral:rRNA from 1 species